rnacentral:rRNA from 1 species
CCUACGGGUGGCAGCAGUGAGGAAUAUUGGUCAAUGGACGAGAGUCUGAACCAGCCAAGCAGCGUGAAGGAUGACUGCCCUAUGGGUUGUAAACUUCUUUUAUAUGGGAAUAAAAUGUUCCACGUGUGGGAUUUUGUAUGUCCCAUAUGAAUAAGGAUCGGCUAACUCCGUGCCAGCAGCCGCGGUAAUACGGAGGAUCCGAGCGUUAUCCGGAUUUAUUGGGUUUAAAGGGAGCGUAGGUGGAUUGUUAAGUCAGUUGUGAAAGUGUGCGGCUCAACCGUAAAAUUGCAGUUGAAACUGGCAGUCUUGAGUACAGUAGAGGUGGGCGGAAUUCGUGGUGUAGCGGUGAAAUGCUUAGAUAUCACGAAGAACUCCGAUUGCGAAGGCAGUUCACUGGACUGCAACUGACACUGAGGCUCGAAAGUGUGGGUAUCAAACAGGAUUAGAUACCCGAGUAGUC